rnacentral:rRNA from 1 species
GACGGCGCGCGGGCUUCGGCCUGGCGGCGAGUGGCGAACGGGUGAGUAAUACAUCGGAACGUGUCCUGUAGUGGGGGAUAGCCCGGCGAAAGCCGGAUUAAUACCGCAUACGAUCUACGGAGGAAAGCGGGGGAUCUUCGGACCUCGCGCUGUAGGGGCGGCCGAUGGCAGAUUAGCUAGUUGGUGGGGUAAAGGCCUACCAAGGCGACGAUCUGUAGCUGGUCUGAGAGGACGACCAGCCACACUGGGACUGAGACACGGCCCAGACUCCUACGGGAGGCAGCAGUGGGGAAUUUUGGACAAUGGGGGCAACCCUGAUCCAGCAAUGCCGCGUGUGUGAAGAAGGCCUUCGGGUUGUAAAGCACUUUUGUCCGGAAAGAAAACUUCGGCCCUAAUAUGGCUGGAGGAUGACGGUACCGGAAGAAUAAGCACCGGCUAACUACGUGCCAGCAGCCGCGGUAAUACGUAGGGUGCGAGCGUUAAUCGGAAUUACUGGGCGUAAAGCGUGCGCAGGCGGUCUGUUAAGACCGAUGUGAAAUCCCCGGGCUUAACCUGGGAACUGCAUUGGUGACUGGCAGGCUUUGAGUGUGGCAGAAGGAGGUAGAAUUCCACGUGUAGCAGUGAAAUGCGUAGAGAUGUGGAGGAAUACCGAUGGCGAAGGCAGCCUCCUGGGCCAACACUGACGCUCAUGCACGAAAGCGUGGGGAGCAAACAGGAUUAGAUACCCUGGUAGUCCACGCCCUAAACGAUGUCAACUAGUUGUUGGGGAUUCAUUUCCUUAGUAACGUAGCUAACGCGUGAAGUUGACCGCCUGGGGAGUACGGUCGCAAGAUUAAAACUCAAAGGAAUUGACGGGGACCCGCACAAGCGGUGGAUGAUGUGGAUUAAUUC